AUCGAACGCUGGCGGCAGGCCUAACACAUGCAAGUCGAGCGGAGCGGCGGACGGGUGAGUAAUGCCUAGGAAGCUGCCUGGUAGUGGGGGAUAACGUCCGGAAAGGGGCGCUAAUACCGCAUACUCUCAGAGCGGCCUAGGUUGGAUGAGCUAGUUGGUGGGGUAAAGGCCUACCAAGGCGACGAUCAGUAACGGGUCUGAGAGGAUGAUCAGGCACACUGGAGCUUGGACACGGCCCAGACUCCUACGGGAGGCAGCAGUGGGGAAUCUUGGGCAAUGGGCGAAAGCCUGAUCCAGCCAUGCCGCGUGUGUGAAGAAGGUCUUCGGAUUGUAAAGCUCUUUAAGUUGGGAGGCGUUAUCUACAGAAUAAGCACCGGCUAACUUCGUGCCAGCAGCCGCGGUAAUUC
rnacentral:rRNA from 1 species